GCCGCGGUAAUACGGAGGGGGCUAGCGUUGUUCGGAUUUACUGGGCGUAAAGCGCACGUAGGCGGUUUGAUAAGUUGGAGGUGAAAUCCCAGGGCUCAACCCUGGAACUGCCUCUAAUACUGCUAGUCUUGAGUUCGAGAGAGGUGAGUGGAAUUCCGAGUGUAGAGGUGAAAUUCGUAGAUAUUCGGAGGAACACCAGUGGCGAAGGCGGCUCACUGGCUCGGUACUGACGCUGAGGUGCGAAAGCGUGGGGAGCAAAC
rnacentral:rRNA from 1 species